GCCAAUGUCACUGCGCGGUCGUGUGCUCUCAUGGCGGGUAGUUAACUUUAUAUCCCGUAUAUGAUAGAUUUAGAACUUUAUAAUCAAGAAAUAAUCGCAGCUGAGAGACCGUCCCGGAAAUACUGUACCAGUCACGCCCUGACGGAAGGCCGGCAGUGCCGCGUGCCAGAUCUGCCAGGAGCCCAUACAGCAGUCCAAGGUAAAGUCCUGCUCCCUGACCCGCGGGCCCGUUCCCACC
rnacentral:lncRNA from 1 species